UACUCUAUAAAAAAUGAAACAAACUCACUAAUUCAAUCCUUCCUAAGAAGAAGAGCUUGUUUUUGCUGACAAUGGCCAACUUUCAGAGAUUUUCAAAACUGACAAAAACAAGAUGCAUCUCUUAUGGAUGGAAGGAACUUAACUCUUAACUGUAGGAAUCUAAAUAAAAUUUGUUCCUAUGUUGAAUGAAGAAUGGAGUUAUGAAAUUCUAGGUUUUUAGAUUCAAGAUCAAUAUUUAUGUUUUUUGUGUUUAUUGAAUCAAGAACAAUCAGAUCACAAAUUUAUGCACCAUAGUUACAUUAUUUUACUUUUGUAGGAGAUAGAUAGAUAGAUAGGGUUCAUCAUGAGAUUGCAGAAAUAAAAGAAAACAUAAGAAACAACAAUAACCAUAAAAGACAGAUUCAAAGUAUGUGUAGUUUCAGUUUGGUUGGUUCAUCAUUGAGUAGUAGUAGUAGUACUACUCUAUUGGUUGUCAAGUUGUUGAAGGAUUGGAAUAAAGAGGUUUGGACCAAAGGGCUUCUCAAAAUAAUGAUCACCACCUGCUCGAAGAAAGCGCCAUCGCUCUUCUUCAACGUACAUUGCAGAGCUUCCCACAAUCCUGCUCUGCACACCCAUGUUUCGAAGCGAUCUAGCCGUCUAUCAUCACACCAUAGAAUAAACAAGGAAUAAGAUAGAUGUGGAUUGAUGACAAUAAGAUCAAAUGUAGCUCCACCUCGGAUGAGCUCAAUAGCAGCACUACCACUCUCUACAUCCUCAGUCUCAACUCCAUAAGCAGAUAGGAAACUCUUUUCGAGCAUUCUGCAGAACGAUUCGCUGUCCACAACAAGCGCAGUGAGCCUGUUCCUCCAUGUCAUGAAGGUGUUGGUUUCGGGGUUGAAUUCUCCCCCGGGUGGAUUCCUACGCUGAGGUAGAUUCUCGCCCCUAUUUGCACGUAUUUGUCUAGGUAACAAGUAUGUUGGUGCCAUUGUUAAUUCUUCACUCAAACCUGAACACAACACAAAAUCAAGAGUUAUAUUCUUAUGUAUACUUUGUUUAGAUUCUUUAGUGUGUAGAAUGAAGAACUAGAUAAUAGAAAAGAUUAUAAGAAAGAUGAAUUUUCCUUGAACAAUAAAAACCUUACAAGAAUUUUUUAGUGUGAAUUGUCUAUCCCUCAAACAGGCUUUAUAUAGAGACUACAAGGCUAACAUUUCCUGUGUCCUACCAUUUCCGGUGGGUGACAAAAGAAAAGGAGAGAAAUACCGCGAUUUGCGGGGAAAUUUUGCUUGAAUAGGAUCAAAAUCCAGAAACCAGAUUUUUUUUUUGCUUAUCUGGACAAAAUCUGAGAUAUGAUGACAUAUUUAAUACAAUGAAUGAAAAACACGUGUGUUCGUUUGUUCGUUCAUUCGUUCACGUUCCUGGCGUGCUUCUUUAGUUUUGACUAACACUACGCGUCACCUGGGAAACCAUGAAAGGAAAACAAUGCCAUAACUGGACUCAAAUACAGACACUGAAUUUAUUUCAUUUAGUUUCAGUUAUGUGUUUUGAAUUAUUGUUUUACCAUAUUUGUUGAGUUUUCUUUCCCUAUUCAGAUAAAUAUGAGUGAUCAUGUGAUAUAAUGAGAUUUAUUGAUUUUCCUUUUGUUUGUUUCUCAAUUGUAAUAUGACCUGAAUCUCUACUCUCUAAUCUGUAACAGAAAGCAAUACAAGAGACUGAUUGCUUUCAAUGAACAAUGUUUGAAACAAAUAUUUAUAUGAAAAUAAUGUUCUCUUAA